GCCACUCAUGGCUUGAAUCAACAUCAUCACACAAGUCUUAAUGUUCAUAGGAAUCACCAAACAUAAAACAAAGAUCAACAAUUGUUCUUCAAGCUCAAAAAGUCUCCAAGUGCUCUCCAAUUCGUGUUUAAUCAGUGUGUAACCGAAAACAUAUGAUAAGACACCUUAAAAGAUCUUCAAUUGGCCAUUAAAUGCGAUAAGUUUCCCUUUUGGAAUGGUCGGCGCCGUAAGCUACGCCGCCUGCCGUAGCUUACGGCGGCCAGUGGGUCAACAAGUCAACAUAUGGCGCCGUAAGCUACAGCAGGCGGCCGUAGCUUACGGCGGCCAGAAAUAUUUUACGACGCUUUGAAACUGUUUUACGGCAGCCAGGUUUUGCAAAUGAUGGGUGCCGUAACCUACGGCCACCACCGUAGGUUACGGCACUCUCCUCUCCAAGCAUCAUAA
rnacentral:lncRNA from 1 species